AAUAUAUACUACUCUAGGGCUGGACAAAAUAAAACCAACCGUGUAUAUCCGACCGAACCGAAUUCAAUUGGGCAUCUCGGGUCGGUUUAUAUCGGGUUAGCAGUUUAGGCGGGUGAUUGAUCCGGUAGUAUGGACUGUGUCGGUUCGGUUCGGAUGGAAAUGUUAGGCCCGUCGGUCACCGAACCCGACCAAGUCUAAUUAAUAUACUACUAUAUACUUGUAUUCCUUCUCUCACUCUCUCACUUGUAUUCAUUCUUACUUUUUCAACACAUAAAGAAACCCUAAUUUCUUUCUCUCACUCUCUCACUCUCUCACUCGUAUUCCUUCUUCUCCGCCGCCGUGUAAAUCUUCGUUCAUUCUUUCUUUCUUGUUUCGUCUUUACCCCUUCUCUUAUCAUCACCACACAACAUGUAUACAUUCAUAGUCUUCUCAUACUCAUCUUGGCUUCAUAGAUUAUUUAUUUUCAGGUGAAGUGAUUUAAAGCUACAAGAGGUGAUUUACCACUAUGAUGACAUGAAAUCCUACAAAAGGUUCAAAACUAAGUGAUGGAAUGAAGGGUGAUUCUUCUAUUAAGAUGGUUCAUGUUUAACAGUUUUUGGCUAUUGAAGAGGCACUAGACAGUGCUGCAGCAAUAAGAAACUUGUGUGGAAAAACAGUUGCAUACUUGUGGGAAAAAUCAGUUGCAUGGAGGCACUAAUGUUAGUUCAUGUUCAUCUCAGAAUACACAUUUUAUGAUCUUGUUAGUGGUAAAACCUAAGUGCCUCGCAUAUUUUCAAAAUUGUUAAUCAUGUUCUAAUUUUGUUAACAAUUAUCUCUUGUUAAGAUUUUUGAUGGCAGAUGUUGCUUGCAUGAAUGAGUUGGAGAAAAUAUUGCAUGAAUGAGUUGGAGAAAGUAUGGACAGUCUAUAUUUUAUAAUGGAUAUUAUAAAAUUUGUAACAAUAAGCUUCUAGAAUGACUCUGUUUGAUGAUGGCCAAUUUAAUCCAAAUAAUUAAUAGUGUUUUUUUUUUUAUAAAAAAUUCAAUCAAUUUCCAUUCCAACUAAAAUAAAAUUUAGAAUUAUAAUUAGGCUUGAAAUUUG